rnacentral:rRNA from 1 species
AGUGAACGCUGGCGGUAGGCCUAACACAUGCAAGUCGAACGGCAGCACAGGAAGAGCGUGCUCUUACGGGUGGCGAGUGGCGGACGGGUGAGGAAUACAUCGGAAUCUACUUUUUCGUGGGGGAUAACGUAGGGAAACUUACGCUAAUACCGCAUACGACCUACGGGUGAAAGCAGGGGAGCUUCGGACCUUGCGCGAUUGAAUGAGACGAUGCCGGAUUAGCUAGUUGGCGGGGUAACGGCCCACCAAGGCGACGAUCCGUAGCUGGUCUGAGAGGAUGAUCAGCCACACUGGAACUGAGACACGGUCCAGACUCCUACGGGAGGCAGCAGUGGGGAAUAUUCGACAAUGGGCGCAAGCCUGAUCCAGCCAUACCGCGUGAGUGAAGAAGGCCUUCGGGUUGUAAAGCCCUUUUGUUGGGAAAGAACAACAGCAGGUUAAUACCCCGCUGUUCUGACGGUACCCAAAGAAUAAGCACCGGCUAACUUCGUG